UCCUGGCAGUUCCAAAGUGCUCACAGUGCAGGUAGUAAAUACUGAUCUACUGCAGUUUGUGCACUUCAGGUAUUGCUGGUU
rnacentral:pre_miRNA from 14 species